UCUUCAUAGUCACCGCCGUGAAGACCUCAAAUCUUACAAAAAAUUAGCAGCUUCGUAAACUUUUCGCGCCAUCUUACGAAACAAAUGAAUCACUGAAGCGCGUAAUAGAACAGCUGACACUAAUAAUGUAUAAUGUAUAAUAAUAAUGUAUGAAUGUAUAAGGCGUGGGCUAGGUAACCACGCGACAACGCAGAUGUGAGAAGACUGGCGUGCUCCGUUGCAUGGAGGUUGAGUUUCGUUUCUACAGUUUUUCGGCUAGUUGCGUUGCCGUUUCCUCGAUUAGCACUGCUCCAUUCAGUAACAUGUGUUCAACUCAGAGUGUUAACAAUUGUCAGAAAUUGCGGUUGCGUUGCAGUUGUCCGUUUUUGGUUUGCCCUCGCCACAACAGUGUAACGAACAACGAAGUUCAGGGUAACGCCGUGGAUUGCAGCUGUAAGUGAAGUGGGCCGUAGGAGCAAAGAAAAUGAAACCAAGAUAUCAUUCCAGCCCUUUGGAAAGAGGACGCUUGAGCUAGAAAUGACAACUGGAGAGAAUGAAACCGGAAUUCAGCCAAGCAUUGCCAAGACAGCAGAAUUGGUUUCUAAUCCGAAUAAUCAGAGAAUGACAAUGGGCACGCAUCAAGGCAGAAAUCAUGAAAUGUUCAGUGUUUGCCAGCCAUGCAUAAGGAAAGAACAGGAGCCCACAGUCUCAGGAGAAUAAGGAGGUGUUACUUCAUAGAUGAAACAGCUAUUGAAAAGCUGCUUGCGAGAAUCCAGUUUCACGCCCUUCAUCAUGGAAGCCUUCAUUCGGUGAGCAGUGCGGCUUGUGAACUCCAGGAGAUUCCAUGUUCAGACGUUGCCUUAGAGAUGGGUACCGAAUCCUUCGGUGGCUGAGUAUGUCUGGUGACGGUGAGUUGCUCCUGUUGCAUGCACACGAUCCCAGUUUUAAGGCGCUGGGAAGUCGCCCUCAUCCUCUCCCGUCUGCUACAACUUAGAGUUGCAUUGCCCAGGGAUCACGUAGCUAUAGCCAUCUUGGACGUGGGAGUAGGGUUUGCUGGUAGAGCUGACCACUCUUGUGUCAGUAGGCAUUCCUCAGGAUUUAUGAAAUUCCCCUGAGACCUUUGCCAGCCUUUGAUCCCCAAAAAUGUGUUUUUCUGUGAUUAUGGAGCUAACUCCAUAGCGUACUUGACAGUUGUAAACACCCCGCAUGGUUCCAUGACCCAGUGGCUAAACUGCCGUUCCUCAGGAGCGCCCCUCACAGAAAUAUAUGUGUACUCUCUUAGCCAUUGUGCGGCUAGCUAGUCUACUAACUUAUACCAAUUUAUUUUAUGAUAUGGAAU